rnacentral:rRNA from 1 species
AACGAACGCUGGCGGCGUGCCUAACACAUGCAAGUCGAACGUGAUUGAGAGCUUGCUCUCAUGAAAGUGGCGCACGGGUGAGUAACGCGUAGAUAAUCUACCUGAUGAUUCGGGAUAACACUUCGAAAGGGGUGCUAAUACCGGAUAAGCCCACGGAGUCCUUGGCCUCUGCGGGAAAAGGGGGGGACCUUUUGGCCUUCCGUCAUCAGAUGAGUCUGCGUACCAUUAGCUAGUUGGUAGGGUAAAGGCCUACCAAGGCGACGAUGGUUAGCUGGUCUGAGAGGAUGAUCAGCCACACUGGAACUGAGACACGGUCCAGACUCCUACGGGAGGCAGCAGUGGGGAAUUUUGCGCAAUGGGGGAAACCCUGACGCAGCAACGCCGCGUGAGUGAUGAAGGCCCUUGGGUCGUAAAGCUCUGACAGAGGGAAAGAAGUGCAGGGGAGCUAAUAUCUCCCUUACUUGACGGUACCCUCAAAGGAAGCACCGGCUAACUCCGUGCCAGCCGCCGCGGUAACAC